CAACAUCUACAUAGUUUCCUAUGGCAUCCUUCAGACUGAGGUGAGAAGAGAUGUUGGGCUGUGCCCGUGCGGUGUUGACCAAAGUCUGCUCGAGAGUCUUAUGCUACAGUGGUUACCUGGGCUGGAAGAUUCACAACAGUCUUGUUGGCUUUAUGCAGAAGAGAAGUGUCCCACACUGGUCAUCUUUCAGCAAAUACUGUGUGACCGUGGAAACAGUGACUAACAACGUAGCAUAAAUGCAAAAUUAAAGGAGGCUCUCUCCCAGUCUAACCUGGCUGAAACUUCAAGGAAAGAAAAUCAAUACAUUUAAAGCCACCUCUAGGGUUUUGUAGAUAACAGUGAGUUAUUAAUUCAUGGGAUGGUUGUGUUAGAAUCCAAAUUUCAUUCCAGUUUCUUGGAUCCUGAUAUAUAGUAGUAGUUCUUUGAGACUGUCAGGCCUCCUCCAUUUACUGGCUGAAGAAAAAUUACUGAAACUUUCCAGUGAAAUUCUUACUGAAUUUCAGGUAUUUUGU